AGAACGUGUCGGAUAUUGGGCGUAAGCGCGCGCAGGCGGUUUCUUAAGUCUGAUGUGAAAGCCCCCGGCUCAACCGGGGAGGGUCAUUGGAAACUGGGGAACUUGAGUGCAGAAGAGGAGAGUGGAAUUCCACGUGUAGCGGUGAAAUGCGUAGAGAUUGUGAAGAACACCAGGUGGCGAAGGCGACUUUCUAGUCUGUAACUGACGCUGAGGCGCGAAAGCUGGGGAGCGAACAGGAUUAGAUACCUGUAGUCCACGCCGUAAACGAUGAGUGGUAAGUGUUAGAGGUUCCGCCCUUUAGUGGUGCAGCAAACGCAAUAAGCACUCCGCCUGGGGAGUACGGUCGCAAGACUGAAACUCAAAGGAAUUGACGGGGGCCCGCACAAGCGGUGGAGCAUGUGGUUUAAUUUCGAAGCAACGCGAAGAACCUUACCAGGUCUUGACAUCCUCUGACAACCCUAGAGAUAGGGCUUCCCCUUCGGGGGCAGAGUGACAGGUGGUGCAUGGUUGUCGUCAGCUCGUGUCGUGAGAUGUUGGGUUAAGUCCCGCAACGAGCGCAACCCUUGAUCUUAGUUGCCAGCAUUCAGUUGGGCACUCUAAGGUGACUGCCGGUGACAAACCGGAGGAAGGUGGGGAUGACGUCAAAUCAUCAUGCCCCUUAUGACCUGGGCUACACACGUGCUACAAUGGGCAGAACAAAGGGCAGCGAAGCCGCGAGGCUAAGCCAAUCCCACAAAUCUGUUCUCAGUUCGGAUCGCAGUCUGCAACUCGACUGCGUGAAGCUGGAAUCGCUAGUAAUCGCGGAUCAGCAUGCCGCGGUGAAUACGUUCCCGGGCCUUGUACACACCGCCCGUCACACCACGAGAGUUUGUAACACCCGAAGUCGGUGAGGUAACCUUUUGGAGCCAGCCGCCGAAGGUGACAGGAAAGUUG
rnacentral:rRNA from 1 species